UUUCAUCAAAACUGGACUUUCGGUUGAAAUAGACUUUGGCUUGAGGUGGAGUUCGGUGAAAACUACUUCUUUUUCGCUAUUUGUUUCGUAGUUAUGGAAGUGGAGUCUUAUUAAUUCUGCUAUUUGUUGGGUAGAAAGUGUAUGAUGUAAAACUAUAAUUUAUGUAUAAAUAAUAAAUAAUUUAUGUAUAAAUAAUAAAUAAUUUAAUAAAUAAAAAUAAUAUAAUUAUAUUUUUUAUAUAAUUAAAAUUUAAUUUAAAACAACUAAAUUAUUUUUUUAUACAUAAAUUAUAAUAAUACAACAAUAAAAUUAUAAAGUAAAAAAAAUUAAUACUUGAUUAAUCAAUUUUUAUCAUAUUUUAAAUAUAUCAACCAAAUAAAAAAAUAAUUAAUACCAUAAUUAAAUAUAAUUAAAUAUAAUUAUUUUUAUCUCGUAUAUUAUUUUAUUAUUUUUUCUUCACCCUCCUUCACCGUAAUUAGCUUCGUCCCACGAUGAGCCGAAGUCAAUUAUGCCGUUUCGGGUUAACUCGAGUUUCGGCCGUAACUAUUUUACGGCGAACCAAACAAUGGAAGUGAUAGUUUAUAGCGUAAACGGAAGUGAUAGUUUGCGCCGACUUUAUGUAACUAAGGCUUGCU
rnacentral:lncRNA from 1 species